rnacentral:rRNA from 1 species
GAGUUUGAUCCUGGCUCAGGAUUAACGCUGGCGGCAUGCCUAAUACAUGCAAGUCGAACGGAGUAGCAAUACUUAGUGGCGAACGGGUGAGUAACACGUAUCUAAUCUACCAUUUAGUGGGGAAUAACUGUUGGAAACGACAGCUAAUACCGCAUAAUAUUGCUGGAUAAUUUCCAGUAAUGAAAGGAGCUUUCAAGCUCCGCUGAUUGAUGAGGAUGCGGCGCAUUAGCUAGUUGGUAGGGUAAUGGCCUACCAAGGCAAUGAUGCGUAGCCGAUCUGAGAGGAUGAACGGCCACAUUGGGACUGAGACACGGCCCAAACUUCUACGGAAGGCAGCAGUAGGGAAUUUUUCACAAUGGGCGAAAGCCUGAUGGAGCAAUGCCGCGUGACUGA